AGGACGAACGCUGGCGGCGUGCCUAAUACAUGCAAGUCGAGCGGACUAAUUGGAGCUUGCUCCAAUUAGUUAGCGGCGGACGGGUGAGUAACACGUGGGCAACCUACCUAUAAGACUGGGAUAACUUCGGGAAACCGGAGCUAAUACCGGAUGACACAAAGGAACUCCUGUUCCUUUGUUGAAAGAUGGCUUCGGCUAUCACUUAUAGAUGGGCCCGCGGCGCAUUAGCUAGUUGGUGAGGUAACGGCUCACCAAGGCGACGAUGCGUAGCCGACCUGAGAGGGUGAUCGGCCACACUGGGACUGAGACACGGCCCAGACUCCUACGGGAGGCAGCAGUAGGGAAUCUUCCGCAAUGGACGAAAGUCUGACGGAGCAACGCCGCGUGAGCGAUGAAGGCCUUCGGGUCGUAAAGCUCUGUUGUUAGGGAAGAACAAGUGCUAGUUGAAUAAGCUGGCACCUGAC
rnacentral:rRNA from 1 species